GACGAACGCUGGCGGCGUGCUUAACACAUGCAAGUCGAACGAUGAAGCUAGAGCUUGCUCUGGUGGAUUAGUGGCGAACGGGUGAGUAACACGUGAGUAACCUGCCCCGAACUCUGGGAUAACUGCUGGAAACGGUAGCUAAUACCGGAUAUGACCAAUGAAGGCAUCUUCUGUUGGUGGAAAGAAUUUCGGUUCGGGAUGGACUCGCGGCCUAUCAGCUUGUUGGUGAGGUAACGGCUCACCAAGGCGGCGACGGGUAGCCGGCCUGAGAGGGUGAUCGGCCACACUGGGACUGAGACACGGCCCAGACUCCUACGGGAGGCAGCAGUGGGGAAUAUUGCACAAUGGGCGCAAGACUGAGGCAGCAACGCCGCGUGAGGGACGACGGCCUCCGGGUUGUAAACCUCUUUUAGUAGGGAAGAAGCGAAAGUGACGGUACCCGCAGAAAAAGCACCGGCUAACUACGUGCCAGCCGCCGCCGUAA
rnacentral:rRNA from 1 species